AGCAACUCUCAGGCACGGCUUUUUUGCCAGGCCUGGAUCAUGUCAGACAGGCAGGUGACCAGCGGUCGCUCUGCCCUUUGUAAAACCAUGGAUAUUUUCAAGAUUUGUUGCAUUCCAACGUCAUAGAAUGUUUGAUUCGUUGGUAUUGUCAACUUCAGAUGUCGCCAAAAGACCCACAAAAUUCUUAUGU
rnacentral:misc_RNA from 1 species